GAUGAACGCUGGCGGCGUGCCUAAUACAUGCAAGUCGAGCGAACAGACGAGGAGCUUGCUCCUCUGACGUUAGCGGCGGACGGGAGAGUAACACGUGGAUAACCUACCUAUAAGACUGGGAUAACUUCGGGAAACCGGAUCUAAUACCGGAUAAUAUAUUGAACCGCAUGGUUCAAUAGUGAAAGACGGUUUUGCUGUCACUUAUAGAUGGAUCCGCGCCGCAUUAGCUAGUUGGUAAGGUAACGGCUUACCAAGGCAACGAUGCGUAGCCGACCUGAGAGGGAGGUCGGCCACCCUGGAACUGAGACACGGUCCAGACUCCUACGGGAGGAAGCAGUAGGGAAUCUUCCGCAAUGGGCGAGAGCUUGACGGAGCAACGCCGCGUGAGUGAUGAAGGUCUUAGGAUCGUAAAGCUCUGUUAUUAGGGAAGAACAAAUGUGUAAUUAACUAUGCACGUCUUGACGGUACCUAAUCAGAAAGCCACGGCUAACUCCGUG
rnacentral:rRNA from 1 species